rnacentral:rRNA from 1 species
GUGAACGCUGGCGGUAGGCCUAACACAUGCAAGUCGAACGGCAGCACAGUAAGAGCUUGCUCUUACGGGUGGCGAGUGGCGGACGGGUGAGGAAUACAUCGGAAUCUACUUUUUCGUGGGGGAUAACGUAGGGAAACUUACGCUAAUACCGCAUACGACCUACGGGUGAAAGCAGGGGAUCUUCGGACCUUGCGCGAUUGCAUGAGCCGAUGUCGGAUUAGCUAGUUGGCGGGGUAAAGGCCCACCAAGGCGACGAUCCGUAGCUGGUCUGAGAGGAUGAUCGGCCACACUGGAACUGAGACACGGUCCAGACUCCUACGGGAGGCAGCAGUGGGGAAUAUUGGACAAUGGGCGCAAGCCUGAUCCAGCCAUACCGCGUGGGUGAAGAAGGCCUUCGGGUUGUAAAGCCCUUUUGUUGGGAAAGAAAAGCAGCAGGUGAAUACCCCGCUGUUCUGACGGUACCCAAAGAAUAAGCACCGGCUAACUUCGUG